rnacentral:rRNA from 1 species
GCAGGCUGCAACCCGCCCUGCAUGAAGCUGGAAUCGCUAGUAAUCGCGGAUCAGAAUGCCGCGGUGAAUACGUUCCCGGGCCUUGUACACACCGCCCGUCACACCAUGGGAGUCGGUAACGCCCGAAGUCAGUGACCCAACCUUAAGGAGGGAGCUGCCGAAGGCGGGACUGGUAACUGGGGUGAAGUCGUAACAAGGUACC